rnacentral:tRNA from 4 species
GGCCCCGUAGCUCAGUUGGAUAGAGCGGCGGUUUCCUAAACCGCAGGCCACAGGUUCGAUUCCUGUCGGGGUCA